rnacentral:rRNA from 1 species
CUUUUGACCUCGGAUCAGGUAGGGAUACCCGCUGAACUUAAGCAUAUCAAUAAGCGGAGGA